GCCUCUUUCGAGGAACAUCCCGCAGCUGUCUUGAAAGCCGAGGUCCGGGAACUACUUUUUUGAUCCUCGGGCGCAGAGCGGAGGCCCUAACGCAGCCUGUGCGCAGACGCGUGGCUCUGCUCUCGGCCUCCCUGCAGGCGGCUGGUGGAAAGCAGGGCCAGGCGGGGGCAGACGCCCGCAUCUCCCGGAGGGGCCCCAGGAGGAGACGCAGGGAACCACGAAGACCCAACCCGCCCCACAGACCGAUCCGCGGAGCCGCCCCGCGACCACCCCCCCCCCCCGCACACCAGGACCUGUGCCGCAGUGUCCACAGCAGGGCAGAGUCCGCCCACAGAGGAGGGUGGGCAACACGGGGCCCAUCCACAGGAUGGAAUACCACCCUGCCUCAGACGGGAAGGGGAUUCUGACGCGCGCUCCAACACGGACGCACCCGGAGGACGUCGCGCCCGCGGAAAGCCGCCGCCACAGGAACCUGCUGUGGUUCCCCUUCUGGGAGGUCCCUGGAGGGGUCCAAGUCACAGACGCAGGGAGUAGACGGUGGGCACCGGAGCCAGUGCCAACUGACCUGGGGUUUCAUUUGGGGACAGCAAAAUGUCCUGGGCCCCGAGAGAGGCGAUGUCACACGACCUCGUGAAUGCCCUAAACGCCACCGAGUUGCUCCCCUCAACAUGGUUAUUCUGUGCCAGGUGAACGUGGCCUCGGUAAAGGAGCCCGAGGCCGCCCUGCGAGGCCCGGCGGCCCGUCCCCCAGCAGACAGGGCCCCGGGCGAGCAGCGGGCAGCGUGCCGCACCCGCCCUCCCUCCCCGGAUUCCGCCAGGCAACCCCGCUUCCUCACGCCCACCGCCGCGCACUGCCCCGCGGUCUCCCGCCUUUGCCGGGGCCCCCCACGGCGCAGCCACUCGACGCCCAACGUAACAGACAAAGAAGCCAAGAGGGUGGGCCGGAAGCACCAGCCUCCACGGGCGGAAAGACCGGCCAAAGGGCCCGAGUCCCCCACGCGCCCCGCCCCAACGCUCAUCCAGGGGUCUGAGAAGGGAACUCUGGCCCCACUUUAUGACCCUACAGGAACGCAGGCAGGUGUCAGACUCGGCCCCACGUCGCAGCAGCACAACAGCAAAAGGCAGAGGCAACCCGCAGGUCCAUCCCCAGACGGACAAAUAAAGCACCCCAUCCACACGCGGAACGUCGCGGGAAAGAGGCACGGACAUAUCCCGCAACACCAACCUCGCAUACGGGCCACUCAGCGUGGAAAGCCAGGCAACAGGCCACACGGCGUGACUCCACUGACGGGACACGUCCGGAGCAGAAGACACUGUGAAAAAUCAAUUCGUUUAGAAUCACAGACCAGUGGUGGCAGAGAAAGUUGGAGCAGAGAGAGGCCGGUGUGUCUGACCUCCUUCCCGCCGUCACGGCCCGAGGUUCCCACACUCAUUGCACGCCCUGCAGGACAGCGUCCUUAG
rnacentral:lncRNA from 1 species